CAGGGAGGGGAGAGUGGAGACGGUGAAUCUCUAAUGACGUCCCUCUGUCUAGGAUCCCACUUUCCUCAGUGUUCUUGGGGCAGGAGCCGGUGUGCCUCGUAAGGGAUUAGGAGAAGGGGAAAUGUGAGGUCAUAAACCUCCUGAGGGCAAGUAAUGCCCUCCUGACAGAAAAGUGAAGAAGCCCAUUUGUUCAGAAGAAAAUGCCUCCCUGGGAGUUGCUCACCUCGCCAUAUGAAUUAUCUCCUCUUUAUUAGACCUAUGAAGAGGCCGAACAGGAAUACAACAGUGAAUAAGACAGAUGUCCCUGGCCUCACAAGACUAGUAAUUCAAUGGAGAAGACAGAAGUACUGAGUAAGUCAUUUGAGCUGUGAUGAGUGUUUGAAGAAUAGUGUUCUGCAAGUAUCUAGCAGGGAAAUCUAUGCCAGUUGGCCGUGGAGGAACAGGGAUGGAGUUUUACGAAAAUGAGAAAGAACUAAUCUUCAGCUCCUAGAGACGUUUAUCAAAAUAUACCUAGCUGGGCAGUCAUCAUACAGGACACGCAGCUUGACCUCGCUUCUCGGAAAAGCGAUCAUUCCACUGUGGGACCAUGGGCUGCUUCUGAGUUGUCACCAUUUAAGUAUCAGGAGGCUUCACAAAAACAAGUUUCCAGGAGGUCCUGAAAAUUCAGAUGUUCUGGUAACGCUGGGCCCACAUUCCUGCAAGGGAAAUCAGCUGGAUAUGCCCCAAAGGUGAGCACCGUGUCAUUGGAUCAUGUAUCUGUCUGGGUCUCAGCCACUCCUGGUCCUCCCUAGCAGCCAGUUUUGGAUAUCUAGAAACAACUUCCUCCUCCAACAUUUAUCUUCAAUGGAAUGGUGGAAGAGGAAACACAAAAAUCAGCUGGACCUAUCCUCUGAACUCCAAACUCCUGUAUCUGUCUUGACAGUCUCAGUUGGAUGUCUAACAGGCACCUCGAAUCUCACACGUCCACCCUGAGCUCCAGAUACUGCCCUCUCCGUACCCAGUUGGCUCUGCUCACAAUCUUCUGUAUCUCGGCAAAGGUCAGCUUCCCUUUCUACUUGCAAAGGCCACAGAACCUGGGAAUAAUCCUUGACCUAUCUCUA